UACGGGGGGGUGCGAGCGUUGUCCGGAAUCACUGGGCGUAAAGGGCGCGUAGGUGGUUUGAUAAGGGUGUGGUGAAAGUCCGGAACUCAACUCCGGAUCUGCCGUGCCGACUGUCAAACUCGAGGGCUGUAGAGGCAGACGGAAUUCCGGGUGUAGCGGUGGAAUGCGUAGAGAUCCGGAGGAAGACCGGUGGCGAAGGCGGUCUGCUGGGCAGUUUCUGACACUGAGGCGCGACGAGCGUGGGGAGCAAACAGG
rnacentral:rRNA from 1 species